rnacentral:rRNA from 1 species
CGCCUCUUGAAUUCAUAAGAGGUCCAGCCUGCCCAGUGACCCUGUUCAACGGCCGCGGUAUCCUAACCGUGCGAAGGUAGCGUAAUCACUUGUUUUCUAAAUAAAGACUAGUAUGAAAGGCAUCACGAGGGUUUUGCUGUCUCCUUUUUCCAAUCAGUGAAUCUAAUCUCCCCGUGAAGAAGCGGGGAUUAAAAUAUAAGACGAGAAGACCCUGUGGAGCUUAAGACUUUAUAACACCUGCCUACUUCCUUCAACUUCUCCGGUCACUCUUCUAAUGGCAUUCUAAUUAUACCUCUUUGGUUGGGGUGACCGCGGAGGACAACUAACCCUCCACAAUGAAAGGGGAUUCCCCUAAGCAAUAAGUUACAACUUUAUGCAUCAAAAAACUGACAUAUUGACCCAAUAAAUUGAUUAAUGAACCAAGUUACCCCAGGGAUAACAGCACAAUCCGCUUUAAGAGCUCAUAUCGACAAGCGGGCUUAUGACCUCGAUGUUGGAUCGGGAUAUCCUAGUGGUGCAGCCGCUACUAAGGGUUCGUUUGUUCAACGAUUAAAACCC